rnacentral:rRNA from 1 species
UACAGAGGUGGCGAGCGUUGUUCGGAUUUACUGGGCGUAAAGGGCGCGUAGGCGGCCUUGUGCGUCGCGUGUGAAAUCCCCGGGCUCAACCCGGGAAGUGCGCGCGAAACUGCAAGGCUCGAGCGGAGGAGGGGAGAGCGGAAUUCAUGGUGUAGCGGUGAAAUGCGUAGAGAUUAGGAAGAACACCAGUGGCGAAGGCGAUUCUCUGGACUGUAACUGACGCUGAGGCUCGAAAGCGUGGGGAGCAAACAGGAUUAGAUACCCCGGUA